rnacentral:rRNA from 1 species
AAUAAACGCUGGCGGCGUGCCUAACACAUGCAAGUCGAGCGAGAAAGCUCCUUCGGGAGUGAGUACAGCGGCGAACGGGUGAGCAACGCGUGGGAAUCUACCCUUCAGUGAAGAAUACCCUUGAGAAAUCGAGGUUAAUACUGCAUACGUCCUGUAAAGGAGAAAGAUGGCCUCUUUGCUGUCGUUGAAGGAUGAGCCUGCGUACUAUUAGCUAGUUGGUAGGGUAACGGCCUACCAAGGCGAUGAUGGUUAACCGGCCUGAGAGGGUGUACGGUCACACUGGAACUUAGACACGGUCCAGACUCCUACGGGAGGCAGCAGUGGGAAAUAUUGGACAAUGGGGGGAACCCUGAUCCAGCCAUGCCGCGUGUGUGAAGAAGGCCUUCGGGUUGUAAAGCACUUUCAGUAGGGAGGAAGAGUUGAGUGUUAAUAGUACUCAGCUUUGACGUUACCUACAGAAGAAGCACCGGCUAACUCUGUGCCAGCCGCCGCAGUAA